rnacentral:rRNA from 1 species
AUUGAACGCUGGCGGCAUGCUUUACACAUGCAAGUCGAACGGCAGCGCGGGCUUCGUCCUGGCGGCGAGUGGCGAACGGGUGAGUAAUGCAUCGGAACGUGCCCAGUAGUGGGGGAUAGCCCGGCGAAAGCCGGAUUAAUACCGCAUACGACCUGAGGGUGAAAGCGGGGGACCGAAAGGCCUCGCGCUAUUGGAGCGGCCGAUGUCGGAUUAGCUAGUUGGUGGGGUAAAGGCUUACCAAGGCGACGAUCCGUAGCUGGUCUGAGAGGAGGACCAGCCACACUGGGACUGAGACACGGCCCAGACUCCUACGGGAGGCAGCAGUGGGGAAUUUUGGACAAUGGGGGCAACCCUGAUCCAGCCAUGCCGCGUGUGAGAAGAAGGCCUUCGGGUUUUAAACCGCUUUUGUUCGGGAAGAAAUCCUCUGGGCUAAUACCCCGGGGGGAUGACGGUACCGGAAGAAUAAGCACCGGCUAACUACGUG